rnacentral:lncRNA from 1 species
ACAGCGGCAACGAUGACGACGGGACAGGAGUGGCAUGACGAUGGCGACAAGUACAAACGGAAGAAGGAGAGAAGAGAUAGAGUCAGAGAGUGUGAUGUAAAUAAUGAAAAAUAAGAUAAAAAGUAGUGUACCAUUACUGCUUUUAAAGGUCGUAAAUGAUUCAUCGACUUCGUAGGUUCCGACGAAUGUUCAAAAUUUGCUAUAAACAGUGACGGUAUGCCGCUUAUAAGGCACGGUAUUUU